rnacentral:rRNA from 1 species
AGCGGCAGGCUUACACAUGCAAGUCGAGGGGUAUAGUUCUUCGGAAUUAGAGACCGGCGCACGGGUGCGUAACGCGUAUGCAAUCUACCUUUCACAGAGGGAUAGCCCAGAGAAAUUUGGAUUAAUACCUCAUGGUAUAUAGCCCUGGCAUCAGGAUUAUAUUAAAGUCACAACGGUGAAAGAUGAGCAUGCGUCCCAUUAGCUAGUUGGUAAGGUAACGGCUUACCAAGGCUACGAUGGGUAGGGGUCCUGAGAGGGAGAUCCCCCAACUGGUACUGAGACACGGACCAGACUCCUACGGGAGGCAGCAGUGAGGAAUAUUGGACAAUGGGCGCAAGCCUGAUCCAGCCAUGCCGCGUGCAGGAUGACGGUCCUAUGGAUUGUAAACUGCUUUUGCACAGGAAGAAACAACGCUACGUGUAGCGUCUUGACGGUACUGUGAGAAUAAGGAUCGGCUAACUCCGUGCCAGCAGCCGCGGUAAUACGGAGGAUCCAAGCGUUAUCCGGAAUCAUUGGGUUUAAAGGGUCCGUAGGCGGUUUAGUAAGUCAGUGGUGAAAGCCCAUCGCUCAACGAUGGAACGGCAUUGAUACUUGUAGACUUGAUUAUUAGGAAGUAACUAGAAUAUGGUAGUGUAGCGGGUGAA